rnacentral:rRNA from 1 species
GGGGUAAUGGCCUACCAAGGCGUCGACGGGUAGCCGGCCUGAGAGGUGUACGGCCCAUUGGGACUGAGAUACGGCCCAGACUCCUAUGGGAGGCAGCAGUGGGGAAUAUUGCACAAUGGGCGCAAGCCUGAUGCAGCGACGCCGCGUGGGGGAUGACGGCCUUCGGGUUGUAAACCUCUUUCAGUGCAGACGAAGCGCAAGUGACGGUAUGUACAGAAGAAGCACCGGCCAACUACGUGCCAGCAGCCGCGGUAAUACGUAGGGUGCGAGCGUUGUCCGGAAUUACUGGGCGUAAAGAGUUCGUAGGCGGUUUGUCGCGUCGUUUGUGAAAACCCGGGGCUCAACUUCGGGCUUGCAGGCGAUACGGGCAGACUUGAGUGUUGCAGGGGAGACUGGAAUUCCUGGUGUAGCGGUGAAAUGCGCAGAUAUCAGGAGGAACACCGGUGGCGAAGGCGGGUCUCUGGGCAACAACUGACGCUGAGGAGCGAAAGCGUGGGGAGCGAACAGGAUUAGAUACCCUGGUAGUCCACGCCGUAAACGUUGGGCGCUA